GCUAAGGCACAAAAGGGAUCGGGGAAGACCGUGAGAGAAAUAGAAAAACGGCGCAUAACUCCCAUCUCCAAUUCUCUGAAGAACAGAAGAAAAAAAAAAGAAAACCUUCCCUCUUUACAAUCAGAAAAUCCCUUCUCAAGCAAAAGCCAGACGCAUCCCCUCCCUCAAAUCUUUGAAAACAAAAAAAAAAGUAAAGAAAAGGAACCACGAAGAAUGUAAAUCUGGUCCGAUUACUGCUGCAGUACAUAUACAUCUCAUGGGUGUUCGAUUUUAACUUUGAUUUCAGAAGUCGAAGCUAUUUGUUGUUGUUUCCCCUUCAAUUAGCAGUUGAACACCAAUUUGAAGUUAUUUUAGGCCUUAUUUGGCUAUUCUAAAGUCUUACUACUGUUGUCCAGGUAUUAAUCACUUUUCUGAUUAUGUAUUUAUCAUUCGAAUCAUAUGACAACAUGUUCAUUUUGGACUGAAAGUAUGUGAAGUGUGAAUCAUGUUCUUACAUGCUAAGUUUAAUGAUUUUUUUUGUUUGCUGACUUACAUAUCCUGAUUGUUAAGCAUGAGUUUUAAUUAAAAUGAAAUUGUGAUCCUUAUGUUUGAUAAAAAGUUGUGUAGUAAUGGGUGAUGAGAAGAGUUUUGUUAUUGUCUUGUAUAGUUGUGACUUACAGAUUUAGCCAUUAAUUGGUCGGGCUGUUAAAUUUGAAGCCAAAAGUCGGAUUGAAUGAACUAUGGGAUUGACAGAUUUGAAUUAAGAGUCGAGUAUCUUCUGUUUAUGUUUGGAUAUCAUUAUAAAUGAACUGUAAUUACAGUAGAAUUACUUAUUCCUCCUUGAUUUCAUUAAGGAUUGUAAUUAAAAGGCUUGAUGUGAACUCUGCAAUAGUGCGGUUGAUUGUUGGAAGAGGCUGUCAACAAAGAUUUCUCGGAGAACAAGUAUAAUUACAGUGACAUAUACUUGCAUCACUUGAUAAUCUUAGUCAUGGAUCUUUAUUUUAAAAUGAGAUAUUCAAGCAUCUUUACAAUAAGUUGAAGUGAAAAUCGAUUUUAUGUGAAUUAGAAUUCCCAUGUAUGUGCUUCUUGUUCUCCAUAUGGUAAAGCAAUCUUCAUUCUGGCUUUAGUACUUCUUGGCAAAGUGAGGACUUGGUAGUUCUUUAUUUCCAAAAUAUAUAAUUCCUUAAUCUCAAUUGUUCAGUGCUUUUCUUCUAGUCGGAC
rnacentral:lncRNA from 1 species